AUUUCGUCCUGAUGGAAGUGACAUCCUCUUGUGGCGGUGUUCGCCACAAGAGAUAAAACGGACAGCAGGUUGAAUC
rnacentral:sRNA from 1 species